GUCCUUGUAGCUUAUCACUAAAGCAUAACACUGAAGAUGUUAAGAUGGCUACCAUACAUACCCAAGGACA
rnacentral:tRNA from 1 species